rnacentral:pre_miRNA from 1 species
CAUAAUGGAGGUUUUUUACUAGUGCCAAAAAUACUGGUCAAAAAAUCUGCAGAAUG